AGAGUUUGAUCCUGGCUCAGGAUGAACGCUGGCGGCGUGCUUAACACAUGCAAGUCGAACGAUGAAGCCUUUCGGGGUGGAUUAGUGGCGAACGGGUAAGUAACACGUGGGCAAUCUGCCCUGCACUCUGGGACAAGCCCUGGAAACGGGGUCUAAUACCGGAUGAUACCUGUCCUCGCAUGGGGGUGGGUUGAAAGCUCCGGCGGUGCAGGAUGAGCCCGCGGCCUAUCAGCUUGUUGGUGAGGUAGUGGCUCACCAAGGCGACGACGGGUAGCCGGCCUGAGAGGGCGACCGGCCACACUGGGACUGAGACACGGCCCAGACUCCUACGGGAGGCAGCAGUGGGGAAUAUUGCACAAUGGGCGGAAGCCUGAUGCA
rnacentral:rRNA from 1 species